GAGUUUUGUACAAUACGGAGCUUCUCAGUGGCGAACGGGCGAGUAACGAGUUGGUGACCUGCCCCGAAGUGUGGGAUAACAGUCCGAAAGGAUUGCUAAUACCGCAUGUGAUCAUCGGUUUUAGAAUCUGAUGAUUAAAGCAGUAAUGCGCUUCGGGAGGGACCUGCUUCCCAUCAGCUAGUUGGUGAGGUAAUGGCCCACCAAGGCUACGACGGGUAAGGGACCUGAGAGGGUGGUCCCUCGCAAUGGCACUGAAACACGGGCCAUACACCUACGGGUGGCAGCAGUAGGGAAUAUUGGGCAAUGGGCGAAAGCCUGACCCAGCAACGCCGCGUGCACGAUGAAGGCCUUCGGGUCGUAAAGUGCUUUUCUGAGGGAUGAGUAAGGACAGUACCUCAGGAAUAAGCCUCGGCUAACUACGUGCCAGCAGCCGCGGUAAAACGUAGGAGGCGAGCGUUAUCCGGAUUUACUGGGCGUAAAGCGUGUGUAGGCGGUUCGGCAAGUUGGAUGUGAAAGCUCCUGGCUUAACUAGGAGAGGUCGUUCAAUACUACCAAACUUGAGGGCAUCAGAGGAAGGUGGAAUUCCCGGUGUAGUGGUGAAAUGCGUAGAUAUCGGGAGGAACACCAGUGGCGAAAGCGGCCUUCUGGGAUGCUCCUGACGCUCAGACACGAAAGCUAGGGUAGCGAACGGGAUUAGAGACCCCGGUAGUCCUAGCAGUAAACGAUGUAGACUUGGUGUCGGAGGUGUCAAAACCUUCGGUAUCGUAGCUAACGCGAUAAGUCUACCGCCUGGGGACUACGGCCGCAAGGUUAAAACUCAA
rnacentral:rRNA from 1 species